rnacentral:lncRNA from 10 species
UUAGAAAUCUCUUCAGCCAAAUAUCUUAUUUAAUUACUCACCAGUUCUACUCUACAUAAAACACUAGGACAUAAAGUCAAUUCAGCCAAGUUCUUUGCCAGUUUAUAACAAGGACUACCUUUCCCCCAGUUUCCAAAUAACAUGUUCCUUAUUUCUGUUUGAAGUCCCAUAAGAAUGGUUUUUAUCAUCUAUAUUUCUAGUACCAUUCUGUCCAUGGCCACUUAGAUAUUCUCUAAGAAGAUGGAGGCUUUCUUUACAGCCCUCCUCCUCUUGUUCUGAGCCCUUACCAGCAGCAUCCUUCAGGGCCUGCUCAUGGUGACAUAGGCUUUCUCUAGCAUGCACUUCAAAACCCUUCUAGCCUCUACCCAAUUACCCAGCAGCACCCCAUCUUUCAGUACCAAUCUUCUGUCUUAGUUUAUUCAAGCUGCUAUAACAAAGCACCACAGACUGGGUGGCUCGGAAACAACAGAGAUUUGUUGCUCACAGAUCUGGAGCCUGAGACAUCUGAGAUCAAGGUGCUGGCAGAUUUGGUGUCUGGGGAGGGUCUAUUUCCUGAGUCAUAGAUAGGACAUUCUUACUGUGUCCUCACAUGAUGGAAAGAAAUGAAGAAGCUCUCUGGGGACUCUUUUGUGUGGGCACUUUCACUUUCAACAGCAUUUUUCAGCUUUACUUGCACUUAUCCUGAAAAAUUUCCUGUACAUGUAUCCAGCAGUGGAAUUUAAAAAAACAAACAAGCAAGGAUUGGCAAUAGGGUUUGGAGGAGCCAGGACCCAGAUAUCCAAGAUAGCAGGCAGGGUCUUUUUUGGAAAAGAGCACAGUCUAGCCCUGCUCACAUGUCUCAGCCCUUUUACUGAUAGAGAGGGACUGUUGGGCUCUCUUCUUCCUUAAGAGUUGUCCUUGGAAAUGUCCACCUCUGGCUGGAAAAUAAUUCCCCAGCUCCAGCCUUCUCACUCUCCUAGGUGAAGGUGUGUGAGUGUUGUGUGGAGAAGGGCACAAGCCUGAGGCAGCACAGGGGAAGGUGUCCUUGAGGAUGGCAGAAACUCUGCUUUGCCUGAAGAACCUGUAAUGGCCUCCCUGAGGGAGCUGCCUUGCAAGACACUGUUGAUUUGUCUCAGAACCUACUGCACCAUCUCUCUUUCCUUCUAGACCUAGAGCUACACUUAAGUACCAGCAGGCCCCAAAAGAUGAGGUAAAAGUGUGACCCAGGAGGAGCUGUGCUACACUCUAAAACAACCAUGUGCCAUUCCCAAUACAUGCAGAUGCAUCAGGGGAAAACAAGUGGAAAUGAAUUUUAAGUGGGUGGGAUCAUGGUUGAACAAAAGAAAAGUUAGAUUCAGGCUGAAUUUAUUGAUAUGGGCCCUCCAAGCAGAGAUUCUGGAUAGUUUGAGAGUUAGAAAUGGGCUCUAAUAGUCUGGUUGGUUGGCUGAAAUAUGAACAAAAUAUGGCCGACAUGAAAUGAAUGCCAGGACAAUCUUAGUUCACCAUAGAGGAACAUAUCCAAAGCCUGAAGGAGAGUGAAAUGAUAAAGCAGAUUGAUCAUGUAAGAUCUGUGCCAAUCCACGGAGGCCACCCAUCCCCGGAGGCCCAAGGAAGUAUCUUUCACCAUGACUGUCAGAAAUCAAUUUGGGAAGGGAGUUUUUUUAUCCUUGAAGAGCUCUGUGGGCACUCUUCUCUGCAGGUCAGGCAUCAUAGUGGGAGCUGCUGGCACUUAACUGGGAUCCUUAAAGGCAGCGGAAAUAAUUGCAGUGGGAGGGGCGUAGCCGGGCCUUGUGGCAAUCCUUAAUAACCAGAAAAGCUGACAUGGCUGCAAUAAUAAACAGCACGGUUAAAGCCGUACUCAGAAGAAUCUGCCUGGCGGAGGCCCAUGGCAUUGGCUAGUUGAUCACGGUGUUCCUAGAUGCCAAAUAAAUAGGUAUGGAGUCCACUAAAUCCUUAUUUGAUCUGUAUAAGCAGAGGAGUUCUAGGUCAAGUGGACGGAAGUUAAACCAGAAUCAUAAAAGCAGAGUCAUGGCCCCUGAAUCAGUUCCCACAAUGAGCCAGUUUACAUGCCCAGAACCGCUUGAAUGAAGGGUAGGCCAGUUCCUCUUGAGGAGCAGACCCCAUGACACUGCCAAAAAUUUAUACUGUUAAUCUUUCUCACAUCCUCCCCCAAAGAGCCUUUUACCAGGGUGACUUUGCACUGGGAAAAAGGAAAUCGUCAUACUUCUCAGGGAUUUCUAAACACAGGCUCUGAAUUGACACUAAUUUCAGGAGACCCCAAAUAUAAGGGAUUAUAGAACUCAGAUGAUUAAUGGAAUUUUAGCUCAGGUCCAUCUCACAGUGGAUCCAAUGGGCCCCAAAACCCAUCCAGUGCUUAUUUCCCUCAGUUCAGAAUGCACUACUGGAAUAGACAUACUCAGGUCCUGACAAAAUCCCACAAGGGUCUCUUGACCUGUGAAGCAAGGGCUAUUACUGUAGGAGAAGCCAAACGGAAGCCACUAGAAUUGCUUCUGCCCAGGAAAACCAUAAAUAAAAAGCAAUAUUGCACUUGC